rnacentral:rRNA from 1 species
AUUGAACGCUGGCGGCAUGCCUUACACAUGCAAGUCGAACGGUAACGGGCCUUCGGGUGCCGACGAGUGGCGAACGGGUGAGUAAUGUAUCGGAACGUACCUUUCAGUGGGGGAUAACGUAGCGAAAGUUACGCUAAUACCGCAUAUUCUGUGCGCAGGAAAGCAGGGGAUCGCAAGACCUUGCGCUGAUUGAGCGGCCGAUAUCAGAUUAGCUAGUUGGUGAGGUAAAGGCUCACCAAGGCGACGAUCUGUAGCGGGUCUGAGAGGAUGAUCCGCCACACUGGAACUGGGACACGGUCCAGACUCCUACGGGAGGCAGCAGUGGGGAAUUUUGGACAAUGGGGCAACCCUGAUCCAGCCAUGCCGCGUGAGUGAAGAAGGCCUUCGGGUUGUAAAGCUCUUUCGGCCGGGAAGAAAUCGUAUCAGCUAAUACCUGGUGCGGAUGACGGUACCGGCAUAAGAAGCACCGGCUAACUACGUGCCAGCCGCCGCCGUAAAAC